UACGAGUGCCUCAAGCGUUAUCCGGAAUCAUUGGGCGUAAAGGGUGUGUAGGUGGUUUUGUUAGUCUCAUGUUAAAUUCUUCGGCUCAACCGGGGUCCGCAUGGGAAACGGCAAAACUUGAGGGUGCGAGGGGUCUCUGGAACUCUAGGUGUAGCGGUGAAAUGCGUUGAUAUCUAGGGGAACACCAAAAGCGAAGGCAAGAGACUGGAGCAUUCCUGACACUGAAACACGAAAGCGUGGGUAGCGAGUGGG
rnacentral:misc_RNA from 1 species